rnacentral:rRNA from 1 species
GACAGAGGUGCCGAGCGUUUAGGCGGAAUCACUGGGCUUAAAGCGUGUGUAGGCGGGUCGUUAAGUGUCUUGUGAAAUCCACCGCUCAACGGUGGAACUGCUGGGCAUACUGGCGAUCUUGAGCCACCUAGGGGCAGACGGAACAAGCGGUGGAGCGGUGAAAUGCGUAGAUAUCGCUUGGGAACGCCGACGGUGAAAACAGUCUGCUGGGGGUGUGCUGACGCUGAGACACGAAAGCCAGGGGGAGCGAACGGGG